rnacentral:rRNA from 1 species
UUGCUCCUCUGACGUUAGCGGCGGACGGGUGAGUAACACGUGGAUAACCUACCUAUAAGACUGGGAUAACUUCGGGAAACCGGAGCUAAUACCGGAUAAUAUAUUGAACCGCAUGGUUCAAUAGUGAAAGACGGUUUUGCUGUCACUUAUAGAUGGAUCCGCGCCGCAUUAGCUAGUUGGUAAGGUAACGGCUUACCAAGGCAACGAUGCGUAGCCGACCUGAGAGGGUGAUCGGCCACACUGGAACUGAGACACGGUCCAGACUCCUACGGGAGGCAGCAGUAGGGAAUCUUCCGCAAUGGGCGAAAGCCUGACGGAGCAACGCCGCGUGAGUGAUGAAGGUCUUCGGAUCGUAAAACUCUGUUAUUAGGGAAGAACAAAUGUGUAAGUAACUAUGCACGUCUUGACGGUACCUAAUCAGAAAGCCACGGCUAACUACGUGCCAGCAGCCGCGGUAAUACGUAGGUGGCAAGCGUUAUCCGGAAUUAUUGGGCGUAAAGCGCGCGUAGGCGGUUUUUUAAGUCUGAUGUGAAAGCCCACGGCUCAACCCGUGGAGGGUCAUUGGAAACUGGAAAACUUGAGUGCAGAAGAGGAAAGUGGAAUUCCAUGUGUAGCGGUGAAAUGCGCAGAGAUAUGGAGGAACACCAGUGGCGAAGGCGACUUUCUGGUCUGUAACU